rnacentral:rRNA from 1 species
UACGUAGGGUGCAGGCGUUAAUCGGAAUUACUGGGCGUAAAGCGUGCGCAGGCGGUUUCUUAAGUCAGAUGUGAAAGCCCCGAGCUUAACUUGGGAAUUGCGCUUGUGGCUGGCGUGCUGGAGUGUGGCAGAGGGAGGUGGAAUUCCACGUGUAGCAGUGAAAUGCGUAGAGAUGUGGAGGAACACCGAUGGCGAAGGCAGCAUCCUGGGCCAGCACUGACGCUCAUGCACGAAAGCGUGGGGAGCAAACAGG